rnacentral:rRNA from 1 species
GACGAACGCUGGCGGCGUGCUUAACACAUGCAAGUCGAACGGAAAGGCCCUGCUUUUGUGGGGUGCUCGAGUGGCGAACGGGUGAGUAACACGUGAGUAACCUGCCCUUGACUUUGGGAUAACUUCAGGAAACUGGGGCUAAUACCGGAUAGGAGCUCCUGCUGCAUGGUGGGGGUUGGAAAGUUUCGGCGGUUGGGGAUGGACUCGCGGCUUAUCAGCUUGUUGGUGGGGUAGUGGCUUACCAAGGCUUUGACGGGUAGCCGGCCUGAGAGGGUGACCGGCCACAUUGGGACUGAGAUACGGCCCAGACUCCUACGGGAGGCAGCAGUGGGGAGUAUUGCGCAAUGGGCGGAAGCCUGAUGCAGCAACGCCGCGUGCGGGAUGACGGCCUUCGGGUUGUAAACCGCUUUCGCCUGUGACGAAGCGUGAGUGACGGUAAUGAGUAAAGAAGCACCGGCUAACUACGUG